GGGGACGCGACGCCGGGGCUCAGGGCGUGGAGCAGGGCGCAGUCAGAGCUGGGGGUGGGAUAGGGCGGGUGCGAGGGGCAGGUCUCGGGGAGCAGGGCGGGGCGAGCUGUCGAAUUCAGGGCCGGAACCAAGUUCUCUAGCGCCACCACCGGUAGGUAACGGAUUGGAGGCAGAGAAGAGCCAGGCAAAGACCCAGCUUACCUGUUAGCUCCGUAUGUCAGGGACAGAAGAUUCCGGAUAAAUUUAAGAAAAACAGCGCAGGAAAGCGCUUUUUAAAUAGAGAGAGAAAAACACUGGUACACAAAAAUUGGCACCUGACCGGAGAUAUUUUUCAAUUCACGUGUGAAAAUGGUCCUUCAGAUAAUAUCAUGACAGGCAAUGAAAAGCCACUUUGGGAGCAAGAUAAAGACUGAAAACAGCUUCAGCUGAAAAACCAGAAUCCUGAAGAAAGAGAAGAAUCGAAGUUCGAUCAGAUGAAUAUGUUAGUAAGGAAAAAGUGAACUGAAAGGCUCUGCUGCAGGUUAGGACGAGGUGGCAGAUACCGCCUGGCCUGCUGCUGCAGGAUUUGCAGCUUCUCCAACAAAGGGCAAAACUGCAUUUCAAUGGAACUUUCAUCUUCCGUUCAGUGAACUGUAAUUGAGCAAUCUAAGUAACCCAUGUGGAGGCUGGGUGUGAAAAAUUCAACACAGAAGUCAGAACUUUGAUAACCACAUGAAUCAGAGGUGGGUCAGCAGAAGGUUUUCACUAGGCCGGAAAAAUCCCAAGGCCUUGAGAGCUGCAGGAACACAGGCUCCUUCUUACCUCUUC